GGGCCCGCACAAGCGGUGGAGCAUGUGGUUUAAUUCGAUGCAACGCGAAGAACCUUACCAGGGCUUGACAUACUACAAAUCUUUUCGAAACGAAAGAGUGCCUUCGGGAAUGUAGAUACAGGUGGUGCAUGGCUGUCGUCAGCUCGUGUCGUGAGAUGUUGGGUUAAGUCCCGCAACGAGCGCAACCCUUGUUUUUAGUUACUAAUUCGUUAGGUUUUCUAGAAAGACUGCCGGUGACAAACCGGAGGAAGGUGAGGAUGACGUCAAGUCAGCAUGCCCCUUAUGUCCUGGGCUACACACGUGCUACAAUGGUUAAGACAAAGAGUCGCGAGCUCGCGAGAGUCAGCUAAUCUCAUAAACUUAGCCUAAGUUCAGAUUGUAGGCUGCAACUCGCCUACAUGAAGUUGGAAUCGCUAGUAAUCG
rnacentral:rRNA from 1 species